rnacentral:rRNA from 1 species
UGGGGAAUAUUGCACAAUGGGCGCAAGCCUGAUGCAGCGACGCCGCGUGAGGGAUGACGGCCUUCGGGUUGUAAACCUCUUUCAGUACCGACGAAGCGUAAGUGACGGUAGGUACAGAAGAAGCACCGGCCAACUACGUGCCAGCAGCCGCGGUAAUACGUAGGGUGCGAGCGUUGUCCGGAAUUACUGGGCGUAAAGAGCUCGUAGGUGGUUUGUCGCGUUGUUCGUGAAAACUCACAGCUUAACUGUGGGCGUGCGGGCGAUACGGGCAGACUGGAGUACUGCAGGGGAGACUGGAAUUCCUGGUGUAGCGGUGGAAUGCGCAGAUAUCAGGAGGAACACCGGUGGCGAAGGCGGGUCUCUGGGCAGUAACUGACGCUGAGGAGCGAAAGCGUGGGGAGCGAACA